AGCGAACGCUGGCGGCAGGCUUAACACAUGCAAGUCGAGCGGGCGUAGCAAUACGUCAGCGGCAGACGGGUGAGUAACGCGUGGGAACGUACCUUUUGGUUCGGAACAACACAGGGGAAACUUGUGCUAAUACCGGAUAAGCCCUUACGGGGAAAGAUUUAUCGCCGAAAGAUCGGCCCGCGUCUGAUUAGCUUGUUGGUGAGGUAACGGCUCACCAAGGCGACGAUCAGUAGCUGGUCUGAGAGGAUGAUCAGCCACAUUGGGACUGAGACACGGCUCAAAACUCCUACGGGAGGCAGCAGUGGGGAAUAUUGGACAAUGGGGGAAACCCUAGAUCCAGCCAUGCCGCGUGAGUGAUGAAGGCCCUAGGGUUGUAAAGCUCUUUUG
rnacentral:rRNA from 1 species